rnacentral:lncRNA from 1 species
UCUUGUCUUUAUUUUCUAAAUACAGUAAAACCAUGCCCAGCACUGACACUGGUGCCAGCCCUCUGUUGUCCUCUGAGGCACCUGGCAAAUGGUCCCCCCUUGCUGCCAUCAGCCUGCGUCUGGGGGUCCAGGUGUCUAACUCUGCUAAAGGUGAUAAGGAAAAUCGCAAUCUCCUGAAACUCAGGAGGCAUUGAGGGCAGACUGUGGACAACCAGGAAGCUUGUGCUGUGGUAGGUGCCACUCCAGUGAUGGUCACUUGUGGAUACUGUGGGAGUUGGUGACCCAGAAGACGCAUCAACUGACAGGAAGGAUGGGAAGACCAGGGCCUGAUUAUCAGUCAUGUGCCAGAGGCCACAGCUGUCACCCCCCAACACACAGGUGACCCCAUCAGCUCCAGCAUGCAGGGGAAGGGUCAGGCCCAUGGAGAGGACAUACUGUCCCCAGGCACUGUCCAUCUCAGGGCUUUGACCGACACCUCCCCACUGGCCCCUGCUACCACAGGGGACCCUGUCCCAUCGCCCACGCCCGAGGUGUCCCUGUCCCCUCCCUGCACCCUCACCAUGGGCCAAGUUGAAACACUGUGGGGCUGCAGGCCUGGAGGCCGUCCCUGUGCCUUCUCCUCCACAGCCGAGCAUGAACUUGGAGGCUCUGUGGCUCCCAGGUAACUUUUCAGACAACGGGGUUUUGUUCACAGACUGCUGAACUAAAGGUCAAACCAGGAACUAAUGAUUCUCCAAGCCAAGUUUGGCUUGAGACCAUAUUUGUAGGGUUAUUAACAGUAUCACAGAGCGAUAGCAUGGGCUUGAGAAAACUUCCUCAUCUUUCUUUGUGGGCAGAGGAGAGGCAAAGAGGAAGAGGAAGGGGCGAGGAGGGGGCGUUGAAAUGUUUAGUUGGUGAGGCUGUCCGGAAAUGUCAGCUGAGGAGGAAGGCUCCGGGGGGAGCGUGGGCUUGCUGGGCGGUGCUGAGAGCCCCUGGGAAGAAAGGACGGCAGCUGAGGUCCGAGGAGAUUUCAGAGCGGGACCACGGAGGGCGUCUCUGUGCGGAGUCGCACUCUUUGGAGGGGACACAGGGCAGAGCCACACACACCCACCGGCUGGCAGGAUGGCUCAGUCUUCAUCCAUGAGAGCAAAGAAAUCCGGGUCACUGAGAGACAUCUCCCAACUACCAGUACACAGAGUGCAUGGUUUUCAAGACCAGAUUAC